GGGCGGAUGGUUUAGUGGUAUAAUUCUCCCUUAGCAUGGGCAGUCCGAGCGAUUGCUCUCAUCUGGGAGAGGUCCGGGGUUCGAUUCCCCGUUCGUCCA